CAAGAAAGAACACUAAACAUCUCCAACUCAUCACCUUUGCUGUCUGCAGAAAUAGGAAGGACACCUGCAGCAAAGUACAGAGGUUUGCAAUGCCACUAGGUUGGGAGGGCUGUGCAGCAGCUCCAGAACGUGGGUUGAAGAGUGAAGUGCAGCACGGUCUGAGAAGCAACGUGAGCUGGGUGACUGUGGCGACCUGCAGAACUGGGAGACCGUGAGUGUUUUUUGGAGGUAUCUCCAGGAAGCUAAGAUCUUGUGAUGGGCUAUGCAGAAGGAUCUUUACACUACAUGUUACUGAUCCUAGAAACUGUGAUUAUGGACUUUUGCCUUUCAACACUUCAGGCUGUGAUUUACAGUGACUCGAUCAACUGAACCCUACUGACUCCUCAACCUCACUUCAAAUCCCAGCAUUCAGAACCAAAACAACCUGGAUCUCAGUUUUCCCUCAGUACAGAAUCCACCACAGCCGAGUGCUUUCCUGCCCAUCUUGUCCAGUUGCAUUCUUGGUUACAGCGUGACACAAACACCUCUUUACAGAGGAACAGACCAACAGAGACAUGAAAACUGAACUGGACCGCAUUCCAACAACCCUUAAAUGACAUAUUCCUUCAAUUAAAUGCCAAGUCACGGGAAAAAAGGGCAAUUAAAGACCACGAUAAUAUAUUGUAAACACGGAAGAUUCAGAGCAAUCAAUCUAUGGACAGAAAACACAUUUCCAAGUAUUGAGGGAAGCUGAGUGGUGAGCUGCUCCUUGAAUUUGUACAGACUUGAUACCACCAUAGAGGCUGAGCUCAAACGUUUAAAUCGAUGAAAUUCAAAUUGCAAGUCAAAUAUAGCACUAAGCUUACAAUUGAAUGA